rnacentral:rRNA from 1 species
UACGAAGGGGGCUAGCGUUGCUCGGAAUCACUGGGCUUAAAGGGCGCGUAGGCGGGUCGGUAAGUCAGGGGUGAAAUCCCACGGCCCAACCGUGGAAGUGCCUCUGAUACUGCCGGCCUCGAGGGGGAUAGGGGCGUGCGGAACUCAGGGUGGAGCGGUGAAAUGCGUAGAUAUCCUGAGGAACACCGGUGGCGAAAGCGGCGCGCUGGAUCCCUUCUGACGCUGAGGCGCGAAAGCCAGGGGAGCAAACGGG